rnacentral:rRNA from 1 species
GGUAAGUCCGGGGCGGCGGGCUGGGUAAUACGGAGGGGACGGGCUGUAGCCGGAUUGAGUGGGUUUAAAGGGAGCGUAGGCCGGUUUGUAAGCCAGCAGUGAAAUGGAGAUGCUCAACAUCUGAGUUGCUGUUGGAACUGCGGACCUUGAGUGCGCGCAGGGGCGGCGGAAUUUGUGGUGUAGCGGUGAAAUGCUUAGAUAUCACGAAGAACCCCGAUUGCGAAGGCAGCUGCCCGGAGCGCAACUGACGCUGAAGCUCGAUGGUGCGGGUAUCGAACAGGAUUAGAUACCCUGGUAGUU